rnacentral:rRNA from 1 species
GAUGAACGCUGGCGGCGUGCCUAAUACAUGCAAGUCGAGCGAACGGACGAGAAGCUUGCUUCUCUGAUGUUAGCGGCGGACGGGUGAGUAACACGUGGAUAACCUACCUAUAAGACUGGGAUAACUUCGGGAAACCGGAGCUAAUACCGGAUAAUAUUUUGAACCGCAUGGUUCAAAAGUGAAAGACGGUAUUGCUGUCACUUAUAGAUGGAUCCGCGCUGCAUUAGCUAGUUGGUAAGGUAACGGCUUACCAAGGCAACGAUGCAUAGCCGACCUGAGAGGGUGAUCGGCCACACUGGAACUGAGACACGGUCCAGACUCCUACGGGAGGCAGCAGUAGGGAAUCUUCCGCAAUGGGCGAAAGCCUGACGGAGCAACGCCGCGUGAGUGAUGAAGGCCUUCGGAUCGUAAAACUCUGUUAUUAGGGAAGAACAUAUGUGUAAGUAACUGUGCACAUCUUGACGGUACCUAAUCAGAAAGCCACGGCUAACUACGUG